rnacentral:tRNA from 2 species
GCCCGAGUGGCGGAAUGGUAGACGCAGGGGAUUCAAAAUCCCCCGGUAGCAAUACCGUGUGGGUUCGAGUCCCACCUCGGGCACCA